rnacentral:rRNA from 1 species
GAUUGGUCACUGGCGCACGGGUGCGUAACGCGUAAGUUAUCUGCCCUUGGGUCUGGCAUAACGUCGGGAAACCGGCGCUAAUUCCAGAUGAUAUCGUAAGAUCAAAGCCUUCGGGCGCCCAAGGAUGAGCUUGCGUCUGAUUAGCUUGUUGGCGGGGUAAUGGCCCACCAAGGCAACGAUCAGUAGCCGGUCUGAGAGGAUGAUCGGCCACAUUGGGACUGAGACACGGCCCAGACUCCUACGGGAGGCAGCAGUAAGGAAUAUUGCGCAAUGGACGAAAGUCUGACGCAGCAACGCCGCGUGCAGGAUGAAGGCCCUUUGGGUUGUAAACUGCUGUAGAAAGGGAAUAAUAGUUUGCCACGGGUGAACUUGAAGGUACCUUUAAAGUAAGCGCCGGCUAACUACGUGCCAGCAGCCGCGGUAAUACGUAGGGCGCAAGCGUUGUCCGGAUUCACUGGGUGUAAAGGGUGCGCAGGCGGAUUGGCAAGUCAGAGGUGAAAUCUCACGGCUCAACCGUGAAACUGCCUUUGAUACUGCUUAUCUUGAGUUCGGGAGAGGUUGAUGGAAUUCCAGGUGUAGCGGUGAAAUGCGUAGAUAUCUGGAAGAACACCAGUGGCGAAGGCGGUCAACUGGCCCGCAACUGACGCUCAUGCACGAAAGCGUGGGGAUCAAACAGGAUUAGAUACCCUGGUAGUCCACGCCCUAAACGAUGUAUGCUUGGUGUUGGCUCUUUAGAGUCAGUGCCGUAGGUAACCUGUUAAGCAUACCACCUGGGGAGUACGCUCGCAAGGGUGAAACUC